rnacentral:rRNA from 1 species
UCCCAGACUCCUACGGGAGGCAGCAGUGAGGAAUAUUGGUCAAUGGGCUUACGCCUGAACCAGCCAAGUCGCGUGAGGGAAGACUGCCCUAUGGGUUGUAAACCUCUUUUGUCAGGGAGCAAUUGGCGCUACGUGUAGCGUUAUCGAGAGUACCUGAAGAAAAAGCAUCGGCUAACUCCGUGCCAGCAGCCGCGGUAAUACGGAGGAUGCGAGCGUUCUCCGGAUUUAUUGGGUUUAAAGGGUGCGUGGGCGGAAUGCGAAGUCGGGGAUAAAAUCGGGGGGCUCAACCGCGCUCCGCCGUUGAAACUGUCGUUCUUGAGUGGGCGAGAAGUAUGCGGAAUGCGUGGUGUAGCGGUGAAAUGCAUAGAUAUCACGCAGAACUCCGAUUGCGAAGGCAGCAUACCGGCGCCCAACUGACGCUGAAGCACGAAGGCGUGGGUAUCGAACAGGAUUAGAUACCCUCGUA